GGCUAACCCGAUGAUCAUCCCGGGAGCAGACUAGCCUGAAGCCCCGACCGGUCGCCUCGGCUUGCGCCAGCCUUGGCCGACCAACGAGCGGAAUUCCCCGAGGCUCGGCCCUCGGAUGCCAGGCUAACCCGAUGAUCAUCCCGGGAGCAGACUAGCCUGAAGCCCCGACCGGUCGCCUCGGCUUGCGCCAGCCUUGGCCGACCAGCGGAAGAAUUUUCUGAGGCCUAACCCGAACUUCAAGAGUCAGGAGUCGGCGAGACGCUACCAAGAGUUAAGAAGAGAAGGGACGAAAGUGAAAUGAGGAAACACUCUGUUUGCAUUAACUUUCGUUGCAUCAGGGCCGAGACCCAUACAAC
rnacentral:lncRNA from 1 species